CUAUAUGAUGACAAAGAGCUAUACGCUCGAUAUAAUCCCAGCUCGUCGAAUGGUCUCACCUAAAUUACAACGCUUAGAGAUCAUACUGAGAUGACGUCCCAUUCUGACCC
rnacentral:snoRNA from 1 species